rnacentral:rRNA from 1 species
UACAGAGGGUGCAAGCGUUAAUCGGAAUUACUGGGCGUAAAGCGUGCGUAGACGGUUACAUAAGUCGGGUGUGAAAGCCCCGGGCUCAACCUGGGAAUUGCAUUCGAGACUGCGUAGCUAGGGUGCGGAAGAGGGAAGCGGAAUUUCCGGUGUAGCGGUGAAAUGCGUAGAUAUUAGGAAGAACACCAGUGGCGAAGGCGGCUCACUGGUCCGGUACUGACGCUGAGGUGCGAAAGCGUGGGGAGCAAACAGGG